rnacentral:rRNA from 1 species
AGAGUUUGAUCCUGGCUCAGGAUGAACGCUGGCGGCGUGCCUAACACAUGCAAGUCGAGCGAAGCACAUGAAUACGAUUCUUCGGAUGAGGAUUCUUGUGACUGAGCGGCGGACGGGUGAGUAACGCGUGGGUAACCUGCCUUACACAGGGGGAUAACAGUUAGAAAUGACUGCUAAUACCGCAUAAGACCACAAAACCGCAUGGUUUGGUGGUAAAAACUCCGGUGGUGUAAGAUGGGCCCGCGUCUGAUUAGGUAGUUGGUGGGGUAACGGCCUACCAAGCCGACGAUCAGUAGCCGACCUGAGAGGGUGACCGGCCACAUUGGGACUGAGACACGGCCCAGACUCCUACGGGAGGCAGCAGUGGGGAAUAUUGCACAAUGGGGGAAACCCUGAUGCAGCGACGCCGCGUGAGCGAUGAAGUAUUUCGGUAUGUAAAGCUCUAUCAGCAGGGAAGAAAAUGACGGUACCUGACUAAGAAGCCCCGGCUAACUACGUGCCAGCAGCCGCGGUAAUACGUAGGGGGCAAGCGUUAUCCGGAUUUACUGGGUGUAAAGGGAGCGU